AAAACCUGUCUCAGUUCGGAUUGGAGUCUGCAACCCGACUCCAUGAAGCUGGAUUCGCUAGUAAUCGCGCAUCAGCCACGGCGCGGUGAAUACGUUCCCGGGCCUUGUACACACCGCCCGUCAAGCCAUGGAAGCCGGGAGUGCCUGAAGUGCGUGACCGCAAGGAACGCCCUAGGGUAAAACCGGUGACUGGGGCUAAGUCGUAACAAGGUACC
rnacentral:rRNA from 1 species